GACAGAGGGUGCAAACGUUGUUCGGAAUUACUGGGCGUAAAGCGUGUGUAGGUGGCCGCGCAAGUCGGAUGUGAAAGCCCUGGGCUCAACUCAGGAAGUGCACCCGAUACUGCGUGGCUCGAGUACCGGAGAGGUUGGUGGAAUUCUCGGUGUAGAGGUGAAAUUCGUAGAUAUCGGGUGGAACACCGGUGGCGAAGGCGGCUCACUGGUCCGGUUCUGACGCUGAGGCGCGAAAGCGUGGGGAGCAAACAGG
rnacentral:rRNA from 1 species